AUCCUCACGCCAUGCGUUGCUGACAGUCGUCAGCGGCAUGCCCUGGCAGUCUCGGUCUUCAAGACUGCAACGCGGUUCGCCGCGUUGACCGAUCCAGUCCGCUUCGCAUCGCCCACCGCGGACGCUCGCCGGCCUGGCGACGAUGC
rfam:Thauera sp. 63 Cont4, whole genome shotgun sequence.